CAUUUUUUAUGCCGCAAAUUUUCAUUAAUUUUCAGCACAUUUUGUUUCAGAAAACACAGAGCUCUAAAAUAAGAAAAUCCAAAAGGGAUUUACUUAAUAAAACAUCAAUGUACUUCAUUGUUACUCAAUUGAUAACGCACUUGUUUUCUAUUGCUUAAGACUAAAAUAAUUGUAAUAAAUGUUUUCAGGUUGUUUAUACUAGGGAUGCUAGUGCUGCAGCAAUGCAUUCAAUGAUUUAAAAAGUGAUCAAAUCACUGAUAUAAAUUAUAAAUAAUAUAGCUACAACCAUUUGUUUUGCUUUUUUUCUUUUAUUCUACACAAUUCCUAAGAUUAAUAAAUGAAUAAUAUCUCAUUGUGGUCUAACUAGCCUAAAGCUGUGUGUUAAUAUUAAUUGUCUGCCAUUUCAUAACAUUGUAUUCUUUGAUUAUUAACAAAACGCUAAUAUUUUAACAAACUCUCUCAAACCGGAAAAAAUCCCAAGUUCUGACAUAUAGAAUUCUUUUUCUCAUAAUUAUUCUUGGGACCACACGCUCAGGAUGAUUAUGAUAAGCUGCAUGAUGCAUAUUAGAUGGUAACAUACAUUUAUUAAUGUUAGAUCAUACUUAUAUUAUUAUAUUAAAAAUGCUCUAGAUUAACUAAAUAAUGGUCUAGAUUAACUAUUUUCAAACUAAUGUUAAAAGAAUACUUCAUAAGUCCUAAAAAUUUAAAUUUUCUCUGGAUUUCUUUUUGUUUGGUGAUAUCUAACAUAGGUCCAAGUUCCUGUGUAAACCACUGUAAACAGCUGAUUGAGGUUAUAAGGCAUAUUAUGGGUGUUGAAAAUGCGCAUCGAGCGUUUGAUUUCUUGUCAUUCUGCAGUGCUGUAAUCUUGUUUAUACUCUCUUACAUCCGUGCAAUUUCUUGUCAAUCGCCAUAGAUGUGUUAGACCAUGAUAAUUUUUUUUAUAUAUUCUCAUCCCCGCCCGCCUCGAUUUCCCCCCUAUUAUUGUAAAAUUUCUGAUUUUCUUCGUCUUGAUUCUGGUCGGGAUCGGUAUUCACCUCCCCAUUCAACUUUCAUUUUAAUACCCGCGUAUUCUCCUUGACAGCUGACAGGCUAGGUGAAGGGUUGAUGCUUCACAGGAAGACGGUUCGUUUGGACGCCUGUUAAACGAUGAUCAUCUUCAUCCAAAUUGUAAGCCAAAAGUCAUUGAGAUAGAUGAGAAGCCAGUUAUUUGCUUUUACUCUCUAAAACCAAUACCUCCAGAUACAGAACUGUUGUAUGAUUAUGGGCCUGGUAACAUGUAUCCUUGGAGAAGAAAGAGGAAGUAAAGGAUAUUGAUGCCAGUUCUUGUGUGGAUGAUGAGGAUCAGAGUGAGGAGGAAAUAGAUGACAGUCAAGACAACCAGAAUUUCCAAACUGUGACUCCAGGGAAGAGGGAGGCAGUAUCUGAUAGCGGAUGCUCCAGAGAAAUAGAUGAGUCUUCAUCCAAGCGACAGAAGUUACAGAAAAAGUCAUGGACUUCAUCUGAAAUGAACUCCAUUCACAAACAUUUUUCACACUUUAUUACCAUGUUGAAGGUACCUGGGGAAAAUGAUGUAACAAAUGUUUUGAAAAAAGAUAAAAACCUUUCAAAAAGAACUUGGAGAAAUGGAAGAGACCAAGUCUACAAUCUAAUUAAAAAACAGAGAAAAUGUUGAUUUUGAUACUACUUUGAUUGUUCACUAGAAUUGAUGGUAUCUGUAUGAAAAAUGAUAUUUUUGUUUACAGUUCUUACAAUUUACAUACAUUGUACAUAAAAGAAUUUGUUGAAUCAUUAUCAAAAUAGAUUUUGACAAAUUUCAGCUUUUUAGCUCAUAUGAGCCAAAGGCUCAAGUGAGCCUUUCUGCUCAAAAUUUGUCUGUUGUCUGUCAUUGUUGUGACCGGAAGGUCGGAUGUUCGAAUCCCUGCUGCGACUUGACCUGAGUCAAUAAGAAAUAGGUAGCAACUGUUCCAUGGCCAAGCGCUCAACACAUUGAAAUAAUAGUUUCAGGUCUUUCAGAUGAGACCUUAAAAACUGAGGUUCCGUGUCAUGGCAGGUGUUGGCAUGAUAAAGAUCCCUCACUGCUCGAUGGCCCUAAGUUCCGAGUAAAGGUCUAAAUUUGAAGCCCUUCGCUGGUAUAUGGUGAGGUCUCUAUAUGACUGAAAAUCUCAAACGGGAUGUAAAACAACAUACAAUCAAUCUAUCAAUCAGUCAUUGUCAACUUUUUACAAUAUCAUCUUCUUCUCCAGAACCACUGGGCCAGUUUCAACCAUACUUGGCACAAAUUAGGAAUUCAAGUUUGUGCAAAUGAAGGGCCACACCGUCUUUCAAGGGAAAAUAAUUAAGAAAAAGUAAAAUUGGGUGUUGUCAUUCAAAAAUCUUCUUCUCAAGAACCUUUGGGUCAGUAAAGAUGAAACUUAAAUGAAAGCUUUCUGACAAAGUGUAAAUUCAAUUUAUUCAAAUCAUGACCCCGGGGUAUUGGUGGAGCCAUUAUGGGCAAUCAAAGUUUUACAUAGGAAUACAUAGGAAAAAUCUUUAAAAUCUUCUUCUUAAGAACAGCAGAGUCAAAAUCAGUCACAUUUAUAUGGAAGCAUCGUCAGGUAGUGUAGAUUCAAGUUUGUUCAAAUCAUGACCCCUGGGAGUAGGGUGGGGCCAUUAUGAACAAUCAAUACCUAGGAAUACAUAGGAAAAAUCCUUAAAAUCUAUUUCUCAAGAACAGCAUAGCCAUGAUAAUUCAUUUUAUAUGGAGGUAUCCUCAGGUAGUGUAGAAUCAAGUUUGGUCUAAUUGUGGCCCUGAGGUAGGGUGGGACAACUAUGGGCGGUCAAAUUUUUUACACAGGAAUACAUAGCAAAAUUCUUUAAAACUAUUUUCCCCAUGAAUAAAAAAGUAAUGAUUAGUCACAUAUAUAUAGAAGCAUCCUAUGGUAAGCAUAGAUUCAAGUUUGCUCUAGUCAUGAAUCCCCCCCCACUACCUCCUGGGCUACAAUGAGUAAUCAAAUAAAAGUUUUUCAUAGGAAUAUGUGGGGGAAAAAUCUUCUGAUUAAAAACAAGAAUGGUCAUAAUUACUCAGGUGAGCAUUGUGGCCCAUGGGCACAUUGUUUAAUCAAAAUGCAGAGAAUAUGUUAAUUUGCAUAUUACAUGUACAUGUAAUAUUGAUCAGUUGGUCAUGUGAUAUAAUUUUAUAUCUGAAAUGAAAUGAUGACAAUUGUAUGAAUGAUGAUGAGUUUAAAGUCAGAUUCUUUAACACAUGUAUUUUCAAGAAAAAAUUUGUCUGGAGGUAUUUUGGAAAUUUCCUUUUUAUAGUAUUGUAAUAAAUGUUUGUUUUCAUGCUAUGUUGAAGGUCGAGUAUCUACGAACACAACUGAAUUGAAUGAACAUCAGAAGUAUUAGAUAAUGUAUUUACAACUGAAACUGUAAUAGAAUUUUAUCAAUUGAAUUUGUGAAAUUAAUUUGAUAAUAAAUUUUGAUUUUUUACCUAAA